AGAACAGUAAAAAGACCGUCUUCUCUCUCAAGUCCCCUAGGGUUUUCAAAGUUCUGGCCGCCGCUCCUCGCCUCCGGUGGCUUCCAUAGCACCGGAGGUGAAUCUCUGUGUCUUAUUUUCGAUUUAGCAUAUCCGUGUCUUGCUCUUUUCUGCGUUUAAGAUCUUUCUUGGUCCGGGGUGGGUGAGUUCUUGUGCUUGGAGGCGAGUGGAGGCGUGUUUGAGAGUUUAUCCUUCGUGUGGUGGUGUUGAUUCGUCCGUGCUCUGGUCAGUAUUCGAUCGUCAUAGAUCUGGUUGGUUUGCUGGCUACUGGAUCUGCGUUUUCUUCCCCUCAGUGUCUGGUUACUUUUUGUGUUAGACUCUCUGUUCUCCAUUUUAGUCAAGAUUCUCUGUUUUGCCUUGCCUUUCUCAUCCAACGGAGAGGUUGAUUUCUCUGAAUCCUUAAUUGUCUCUUUGAUUUCUCUGGUCUCUUCUCAUCAUCAGUGCGACUGUGGUGUUUUGACGAGUGCGUGAGCAUACCAGGUUUAGCAUCUUUACUGUGAAGAAGUUGGUUGGUGUUACCUCUCCUUGUGAAGGAGUCAUCGCUACAUUUGAUUAAUAUAGUGUUAGUCGUUCCCGGUUUGUUUGAUUGACCUCAUAAUCCCUCUGUGGCUUCUUAUUGGAUGUUUGAAGCAGUAUAAUGAGGUUGGGGUUUGAUCCAUUCGGAUGAAGUUGUAGCUGUUGAGGGGUUUGUCCCAGGUGUUUUAGGUUCUUGACUCCGGGAGUCGAGGUUGGUGUGUGUGGUUGAUGCUAUUCGGCGUGGUUUUGUCUCUUCAUCGUGAAUAGGAAGUUCAGGUGAGUUUCGGCUCCGCUUUGGUCUAUCGCCUACUUGUUCGCUUGGCUAUCUUUGGUCUUUCAUUAGACCUAUGGUUAUGAAGGCCUCGACUAUUUUAUCUCUGAGCUUUGAAGGAUUGUAAGAAAGUCUUUAGUCGUAGAAAUUUGUGUUAGUCUCGUAAGUUAUGUUUAAGAUGCCUAUGUGUGGGCUUUAGUUUCCCUCCUAUGGGACAUGUUUCCGGGGAUUUCAUUGUGUUCCGCCGGCUUAUGUAUUACAAACUUGGAUUUUAAUAUAAAUCGAUUGACGG
rnacentral:lncRNA from 1 species